CCUCCCCUCGCAGAUCCAUCCUUCCCCUCCCUCCUUCCCCUCUGGAAAGAUCGCCGUGCUCUACUCCUUCCUCCUUCCCCUCCGGCAAGAUCGUCGUGCUCUGCUCCUCCCUCCUUCCCCUCCGGCAAGAUCCCACAUCCAUCGAUCCAUCCUCAACCGGAACCCCUCUCCCGAUGCCAGAUCCAAUCCUCCUCCCUCCCUCCUCGCCCCGGCUCCCUGCUCCCCUCCCCUUCCAGAUCAGCGCCACCACCUCCCUCCUCCUCCCUCGCCCCGGUUCCCUGCUCCGCCGAGGCCGCCGUCGGGAGAUCCGACUUCGCCGACGGGAAUGGGGCCGGAUCCGCCACGCCCGAGCGCUCCAUCCUCGUCGACAGGGACGACUACAUCCUGGCCUUGGUGCUUCCGGCAGCGGCGGCUCAUCUCCUUCCUCGGGCACCACAACUUCAACCGCACCAUGGAUGUGUUGGUGACCCAGACGGACCUAGCCGAGCUGGUGGACACGGGCUCCUGGGACAAGGCCAUCGAGUACCUCUUCCGCUUCCUGCCCUCCGACCGCCUGCUGGGCGUCCACGGUCGCGCCCUCUUCCACUACCUCCGCAUGCACAAGGCCAUCGACGACGUGCUCGCCGGAGCCCCGGAGGCGCGCUCCGUCACCACCGCCCUCGACCAGUGCAUCAUCCGCCACCCCACCAAGAGCCACGCCGUCACCAGGCUCUGCGCCAUCUUCUCCUCCCUCCUCUGCUCCAAGCGAUACAGGUAAAAUACAACAUUGCUAGCUAUCACUGCAAGUCUGCAAUCGAUUCGAUAGAUAAAAUGAGCAUUGGUCCGUCAGAUGGGAUCUUGAUUUCGUUGUGUUGCUUAGGGCUGUUAUAAUGUCCGUGUCAGGUGUAGCUGCAGAGACGCUGGGCAGAGUGUAUGGAUACAAUGUCCAUGCGUGGAAGAACUAAAAUUCAGUUAAUGUCCAUGCUGUUAGUCAUAUAGUUUGUAGGAUCGGAGUGACUGCCUGCUGCCAUUUGCUUGUGUUCCAUCUUUGUUGAAUGUACCUACCAUCAUACCUGUGGUGUUUUAAGCAUCUUGGAUCUCAAUAUAUGGUGUCGAAACUGUUGAAAGAAAAUGAUGUAAGAGUUGUCCUGCUUGUUUUAAUUAUUUCCCUGGAUAUGUUUCUCUGUUUAGCUUUCUCGCUGGAAUGGCGCUCUGCUUUGUGAUGCGGAGCUUCUGAAUCUUUGUGGUGGAAUCUUGUUAUUUUAAUUAUAUGUCAUUGUAUCUCAUAUUUCUGCACUUUUUCUUCUGGAGUAGAAACAUUAAGGUUGAACUUACAGAAGCUUACCCAUAUCAUUCAUGUUCUCGGUGGUGGAUUACUACUGUAGUAUUAUGCUGUCUACUGCUUUUAACCUUGGAGUCUACUACUCUUAACAUAGCUCUGUUUUCACCUUUAGGCUCCAAGCAGAUCUGAAAGUCAGCCUCUCCAAUUUUCCUUGGAGUCUACUGCUCUUAACAUCAUUGUACUAUGUGCAGAAAGAACAUGAAUGAAAUCCUUGUCACUUCAUUUUCAGGUAAGACCGGAGCUGUAUGGAGAUAGUAAUGCUAGGUUCUUCACUUACUGGACAACUGAUGCGUACCAAGAGACGGGGUGCUACAACCACAACUGCCGUGGGUUUGUCCAGACGACCAACAAGAUAGCCAUCGGCGCGGCUAUCACGCCACAAUCGGUGUACAACGGGAGGCAGUUUGAUAUUAAUCUGAUGAUAUGGAAGCGUAAAGAGCUAUGUGACCCCUCCUGGAUGGGGCUUCGGUUGGACCUCUGAUUGGGCUCCCCAUAGACUUUGACCCAAGCAUCCUUGUGACAGGGUUUGUCGGAAUCGCCAUCGCUUUAGGGUGCUUCUCCGGUGCCGCCACCAUCACCAAGCGCAGGGAGUACCUGUACCUCGGUGGCCUGACCUCUUCUGGCAUGUCGAUCCUUCGACAUGAAACUCUCAAGAACGCAGGUGACAAGAAGAGGAAGAGGAUGUCCUGAACGUUUCUCCCGCACAUCGUAGAUACCACCAUCGCGGCCUUGUAGGAAUUAAGCUGGCGAUGUGCCACCCUUGUGUAUCUGUUUUUGAUUGUAUGUGGAAGUUGGACGUGCAUACGUGUAUUUGCUCUUGUGAGUAUUUGACUGGAUGAUCUUUGGAUUUAAUCAGUUAAUAGAAAGAUUUAUUGAUAUUUUGUUG